AGCGAACGCUAGCGGCGGGCCUAACACAUGCAAGUCGAGCGGGGAGCAAUCCCAGCGGCGAACGGGUGAGUAACACGUAGGUAAUGUGCCUUUUGGUGGGGAAUAACCGUGGGAAACCAUGGCUAAUACCGCAUAUCGUGCUUCGGCAUGAAAGCUUCUGAGGCAACUCGGGGGCGCCAGUUGAGCAGCCUGCGUCCCAUUAUUUAGUCCUAGUUGGAGGGUAAUGGCCUACCAAGGGUACGAUGGGUAGCUGGUCUGAGAGGAUGAUCAGCCACACUGGAACUGAGACACGGUCCAGACUCCUACGGGAGGCAGCAGUGGGGAAUAUUGCGCAAUGGGCGAAAGCCUGACGCAGCAACGCCGCGGUGAAGGGAUGGAAGGUGCUCUGCA
rnacentral:rRNA from 1 species